rnacentral:rRNA from 1 species
UACGGGGGGGGCAAGCGUUGUUCGGAAUUACUGGGCGGAAAGGGCUCGUAGGCGGCCAACUAAGUCAUACGUGAAAUCCCUCGGCUUAACCGGGGAACUGCGUCUGAUACUGGAUGGCUUGAGUUCGGGAGAGGGAUGCGGAAUUCCAGGUGUAGCGGUGAAAUGCGUAGAUAUCUGGAGGAACACCGGUGGCGAAGGCGGCAUCCUGGACCGAUACUGACGCUGAGGAGCGAAAGCCAGGGGAGCAAACGGG